GUUCUUUUCGAGGUCGGCCGCGUGGCUGGAAGACAUGGCCACUCCAGUCGGUGUUGAGCACGGCGAGCAGUCUCAGGCCUUUAGUGAUGAUGGGUGGUUAGGAGGGUUAAAAGUACUGGAUGAGAAAAUGCUUUCCAAACGUUGAGAAAAUGUUACUAUGUGAAGGGAGAGAGCUCAAGCCCGUCCUCGGCGUCAUAGGGCCGGCUUCUGCGGGGGAGAGCGCCUAACAACCUGGGCAGCCCCGUGCGCCUCCGCCGCGCGUGUGCUGAGCGUCAUGCCCAGGGGUCUUCGGUGCCCGCGCACGGGCAGACUCUGACGAUGGUGGUUCUUAAUUCAGCAUCAGGAGUGUUAACGUGUGAAGACGUGAUUCCGCUUGGAGUGUCUUGAGGACGGCCCCAAUCGAGGCCUUUCUUUGUUUGGCAUCUGCAGAGACGGUGAAAAGCAGAGCUCCAGGUUGAAGGAUCAGAGUAAUAGAUGGAGCCCUUAACAUGAGUAAGAGUGGGUGCAGGCAGGGCCUGAGUGGUCACUAGAAAUGAGAAAGCACAGUUGGUGCCAUCACAUACAUUCACCUCCUGCUUUAUUCUGAAGUUCAAGUAUGAGAAUACGUGUUGACAUACAAGCCAGCUAUGAUUAAAGGUGGUGGCUGUGGCCUUGAAAACAGUCAUGUGAAAACUCAUCACCUUAAGGUGUUAAGUGUAAGGAUCUUCAUGAUGAAAUUUCUGUAAAUGGUGCAGUCAGCCUCAGUUUCCAAAGCCGGAAAAGGAUCCUCUAGUAGCCACGGUGUGGCAGCUGCUCUGAACCAGGACCUGGACCCGGACCCAAAGUGCCAUGUCUUUAAUGUUAGCUCCCAGCGAUGCCAGAUGGGAUCAGCACAGCCCUGCCUCUGCUGCUAAUUGUUCCUCUAAAGUAAUCGCCAUGCGUUCUUUGGGCUUCAUCUUUAAAGGAAUGAAGCAACUGAGAUUAUUCUGGAAAACCUUUUGGCAGUUAGUGAAAUUAGAGUACAACUAAGAACAUUUUCAGACCUCCACUGUGGAUGACCUGGGUAUAAUCUCACAAAUCGAUGGGACUGCAAGGAUUGUAAACUGAAAUGAACAUGAUUAUACUCUGUUGGAAGAGCCUAAGAGGAAACUGAUGCCAUGAGUUUCAGAGAGUAAUGCUUAACCCCAGUUACACAGGAUGCCGUCUUGUGUUUCCUCUUGUUUAGUUACCCACUACAGUGAUUUUGUGAUCUGCUAAUGGGUUGCCACCCACAACCAUUGCUUUAGCACUUUUACUUCAAAUCAAUGAAGGAUUGAUAAAAGUUCUCCUGGUGUCUCCGCAGAGUGCCUUCCAGGAACAGAUCUUUGCAUAGAAUAUCAGUGGUUUCCUUUUUUGUUUCAAAUAGUGGUCAGAAAAUACCCAGUGUUGACUCACCAAGGCAAUCAGCUUCCUUUUUCCCUUUUUUUGUUUUUUUUUUAACAUUUUAUAUUUUUGCUUUAUUUUAUUUUAUUUUAUUUUAUUUUAUUUUAUUUUAUUUUAUUUUUUGAGACGGAGUUCCACUCUGUCGCCAGGCUGGAGUGAAGUGGUACAAUCUUGGCUCACUGCAACCUCCACCUCCCGGGUUCAAGCAAUUCUCCUGGCUCAGCCUCCUGAGUGCUGGGACUACAGGCGCGUACCUUCUUUAGUAGAGACUGGGUUUCACCAUGUUGGCCAGGAUGGUCUCUAUCUCCUGACCUUGUGAUCUGCCUGCCUCAGCUUCCCAAAGUGCUGAGAUGACAGGUGUGAGCCAUCAGACCCAGCAUUUUUUUUUUUAAUUUAAAUUUAAAUUUUUUUUCAUUUUUUUGAGAGGUUUUUUUUGUUUUGUUUUGUUGUUGUUGUUGUUGUUGUUUUUGAGACAGUCUUGCUCUGUCACCCAGGCUGGGAGUGCAGUGGCAUGAUCUCUGCAACCUCUACCUCCCAGGUUCAAGCAAUUCUUGUGCCUCAGCCUCCCAAGUAACUGGGACUACAGGUGCACGCUACCACACCUGGCUGAUUUUUUUUGUUUUAGUAGAGACAGGGUUUCAACCAUGUUGCCCAGGUUGGUCUCAAACUCCUGAGCUCAGGCAAUCCACCCGCCUUGGCCUCCCAAAGUGCUAGGAUUACAGGUGUGAGCCACCACACCCAGCUAUUUUUUCUUUCGUUUUUUAAUUUUAAAGUUGGGGGGGGGUCUCAAUUUGUUACCCUGGCUGGUCUCGAACUCCCGGACUUAAGCGAUCCUCUGGCUCCAAGCCCACUACCAGUCUCAGGUUUCUUUACUAAAAGAUCACUACCUUUUUUUCUCUUAUCUGCUGCCAUGUGAGAUGUGGCUUUCACCUUCCGCCAUGAUUGUGAGGCCUUCCCAGCCAUGUAGAACUGUAAGUCCAAUAAACCUCUUUUGUAAAUUAAAAAAAAAAAAUCACUAUUUAAGAUACUAGGAUGGAUUGUGACUGUUGAGGAGUACUUACAUAUCCUACAUUUGACUACAUUAUUUCCAAACCAAGUAUUCCAUCCAAAGGAACAUACUGCUAUCAUAGAGACCAAGGAGGGACUGUUUAAGGUUGCCAAGGUGAAGCGAGCUGAGAGGCUUUGUCCUCGUGCCAGUAACUCUGAAAUCUCUCUUAAUUCCUGCUGUCCAGGCAGCAGAAUGCCAUGGUUUCCCCAAGUAGGUAGCUGCUUUAGCAGUUAAAGCCCAAAUGUCUGUUCUGUUGAUCAGAGGUCUCUGAAUUUCUGAAGUGGUGUUUCGUUUCUGGUGACUGAGUUAAUCCUUUACAAUCCCUCUUGUAAAGUGUGCUAAUAGAAAGAAUCCACCUUUCAAAGCUGCAGAACCAGACCGUGCCCUAAAUUGACCAACGUAACUGAUGUGCCUCAGGAAGUCUCUUGCCAGCUGUCCCUGUGAAGACCCCCCUCCUCCCCCCCAGCUGCUGCCUUGCACACUGAAGCAUCUCAGACUGUGCAAAGCCGUGUAGUCAUCAAGACAGUAAAUCCCAGGGCUUGGUUAAGUGCUGUGUGAUAACUUGUUUGGAUGAGACUUAACUUAAAACCACUUACAAUAAACUUGGGAA
rnacentral:lncRNA from 1 species